CCAGGCCCAGAUCGACCAGUAUGUGGGGUUGGUGAACAGUCAACUGAGCCACGUCAAAGCUAAGAUCCGAGCUAAGAUCCCAGGGACAGGAGCCCUUGCCUCAGCAGCAGCUGCAGUGUCUGGAUCCAAAGCCAAAGCCGAAUGAGAGGGGUGUCUCUGCCUGCGGAACGCCUGCCCCCACCCGUUGCAGCCCUCUGGCCCCUCUCCAUCUCCCAUCCAUCCCCAUCCUCUCCCCGCCUCGGCCCGUCAUUCCCCGGUGGGUGUCAGGAUCGCUCAGACCAGGGAAUCUGCGCCAAUUGCCUGAGCGGCCAGGACUACAUUUCCCAAGAGGCACUGCUCUAGGAGUCCCGGAAAGGCGAGGCACCUUGGCCGCAGGGCCUUCUAGGACUUGUAGUUGACUAGGCAGGGCACCGCCCUGCACUUCCGUGACCCCGCCGCUGGAGGCGCCGUGAGGGGGUGGCGUCUCCUGGACGCCACUAGCCCCAACGCCUGGGCUUUGCAUGGGGCCCAGGCGAGGCCUGAGCUUGGAUUUACACUGUAAUAAAGACUCUUGUGGAAAACC